UACGUAGGCAGCAAGCGUUGUUCGGAGUUACUGGGCGUAAAGGGUGCGUAGGCGGUUGUUUAAGUUUGGUGUGAAAUCUCCCGGCUCAACUGGGAGGGUGCGCCGAAUACUGAAUGACUAGAGUGCGGGAGAGGAGAGUGGAAUUCCUGGUGUAGCGGUGAAAUGCGUAGAGAAUCCGGAAGAACACCGGUGGCGAAGGCGGUCUGCUGGGCAGUUGCUGACACUGAGGCGCGACGAGCGUGGGGAGCAAACAGG
rnacentral:rRNA from 1 species